ensembl:lncRNA
CCUAGUUCUGAUGCCCCUGCUGGGGCAGGGUUGCCAACUGCUAGGUCAGGCACUAGAUCAGGUUUCCCAGGGCCCCAUCCAACCUGUCCUUGAACACCUCCAGGAACAUCCAUCAGUGGUUGAAGAUGAAGCCUAUUACAGACUUUCUGCCUGUGGCCCUCAAAGGAAGGAAACUGCCAACACAACAUACAUGUGCAUCCAGAAAUCUCAAAAUCAGCAAAAGGAUGCACACAUACCUACUUCUCGCUUUGGCAGUUGAAAAGAAAGGCUUGAAAAUGUGAGCUACGUGAGCCUGAAGGCAGCUGAAAUGCAGCUUUGAGAUGUGCAGCAGGUUUCCCAGGGAAGAUGGUGAGUACAGGGGGCUUUUCCUCUAUACUGUUAAUGUAACAUAAAAAAAAAGAGGGACCAUCUGUGACAUGAAAUCUAAAGACAAACAAACAGAAAGAAUGGAGCAGGUCAGUCAUGCCAUAAAAAUGGAAAUGAAACUUCGUAUGAGGGCCUGGGUCUCUAGCUUGAGCUGAGAGCCUGGCAUUUCCCUCUUCUUAUUGAUGGGCUUUUGCUAACCGUGUUCUGGAAGGUGCAAGACUGGAAGUCCAUUUGGGGUUGUGCAGCUGAGCCCCUAUGUGCUUGAGCAGUCCUUGGUAGUCAGGGUACAUUUUUCUCUCCAUUGGAGGUAACUAGUUUGUCCUUGCUGAGGUGUGAAUUACGGUGUUCAUCUUAGAAGAGUAGAAAUUAUGUUUGAGAGGAAAAUGGGUUAAAUUUGCUCCUUAAUCCAAACAGAUGAACCAGAGGUGAUGAUGGAGAAAUAACUCUUUCCUCUAGUUCAAAUUUCUGCUAUCCUUAAAAAAACUGAGCUUGAAAAACUCUGUUGAAGGGCAGUACAGAAGUAAUGAGAAGAACUUCCCUCCAUGCCCCAGUGGGGUUGGCUGGGAAUAGAGGAUGCUUAGGAUAUAUUCAGGCUGGGGUCCUGUUGUGUGUGGCCCUACCAUCUUAAAGACUAUCCCUCUAAUCAGCCAUUUCAUUAAUCUCAGCUAACUUUGCUAGAUUAUUACUGAGGCAGCUGCACACCAGUGUGAAGAUGUAAGAAUUAUUCGAUUUGAGCACAUUUUUCCAGUAGCUAAUGUAUCUGAUUAAUAUAGCUUCUUCGUCUUUAAAUUGAAUGUAGUGUCCAUCUGCAGAUCAGUCUGAUUGAUUUAGGUUCUUACAUUAAUGCCUAUCAUACAGCACACAUGCACAUAAUUUUCUCAUUAUUAACAUUUACUUGGCAAUUUUUAUCAAUGCAGUUUUUCAUAUCCUUUGCCCUCAUUAUAAGGAACUCAUUGAAUGCGUGUAUCUUGUAUAAUCAGGACAUCUAUUAGAAGCUAUGAUGGUUUUUCAGAGAAAAUUGAUAAACUAACAAUAGCAAUCUCAUGAAAUACUCUCUUUAUAUUCUGAGCCACACAACUUUUCCAAAAUAACAAUUUAGUAAGUGGACCUCUAGCAAUAUUGUAGCUAUAUUCUGAUCAUUUUAUAUAUGCAUCCAGUUGUUAUUGAUUUCAUUAGAUUAAGCCUCAUGUAAUGACCUCUAGGCCAAGAAUUUAGAAUGAAAUUUUAAUAAAAGCAUCAUUUUUAAAUUAAAUUGGCA